rnacentral:tRNA from 1 species
GUUAAUGUAGCUUAANUUUUAAAGCAAUGCACUGAAAAUGCUUAGAUGGGUANUUAUUGACCCCAUAAACA